GCCCCUUAGCUCAGUUGGUUAGAGCAUCCGACUCAUAAUCGGCAGGUCCCCUGUUCUUAUGUGGUAUUGUA
rnacentral:tRNA from 1 species